rnacentral:tRNA from 1 species
GGAGUUGUGGCUCAGUGGUAGAGUACCCUCCUAGCAUGUGCGAGGCCCUGGGUUCGAUCCUCAGCACCA